rnacentral:rRNA from 1 species
UUCAUGGAGAGUUUGAUCCUGGCUCAGGACGAACGCUGGCGGCGUGCCUAAUACAUGCAAGUCGAGCGGACCGACGGGAGCUUGCUCCCUUAGGUCAGCGGCGGACGGGUGAGUAACACGUGGGUAACCUGCCUGUAAGACUGGGAUAACUCCGGGAAACCGGGGCUAAUACCGGAUGCUUGAUUGAACCGCAUGGUUCAAUCAUGAAAGGCGGCUUCGGCUGCCGUUUACAGAUGGACCCGCGGCGCAUUAGCUAGUUGGUGAGGUAACGGCUCACCAAGGCGACGAUGCGUAGCCGACCUGAGAGGGUGAUCGGCCACACUGGGACUGAGACACGGCCCAGACUCCUACGGGAGGCAGCAGUAGGGAAUCUUCCGCAAUGGACGAAAGUCUGACGGAGCAACGCCGCGUGAGUGAUGAAGGUUUUCGGAUCGUAAAGCUC